rnacentral:rRNA from 1 species
UACAGAGGGUGCGAGCGUUGUCCGGAAUCACUGGGCGUAAAGGGCGCGUAGGUGGCCCGCUCAGCGUGCGGUGAAAGCUCGGGGCUCAACCCCGAGUCGGCCGUGCGAACUGGUGGGCUGGAGCACUGUAGAGGCAGGCGGAAUUCCGGGUGUAGCGGUGGAAUGCGUAGAGAUCCGGAAGAACACCGGUGGCGAAGGCGGCCUGCUGGGCAGUUGCUGACACUGAGGCGCGACAGCGUGGGGAGCAAACAGG